UUUGUUCAUCAUAGCCUAAAGUUAGAGAAGAGAAAGAAGAGGAGAAAGCUCUUGAAUGUUCGAUCACUUGGGGAAGAAAAUUGAAGGUAAGUUCAUGGUAGUUUGCUUCUAUCUUGAUGUUCAUGAGUUCUUCUUGAUUCUACCUUAACUCUUGAAGCAUAUUUUGGUUUUUGGUUGUGUUGUGAGCAUUUGGUCAUGAAUUAAAAUGAAGGAAAUGGUUGUUGUUUCAUGUUCUUUUGAUGAAAAAUGGAAGAUAUGAGAAGUUGAGCCAAACAAAUGAGCAUGCAUGUGCUUAGAUGCUAAGGGGAAAAAUCGGCUAAUAUUUUGUGCUUUAAAAUGAUGAAAUAGAGAUUAUACUUAAGUAAAAUCAUAGUUAUGUGAUGAUUGAUUGGUGAUAUACAUGUUUAAAAAAAAAUGCAUGCAAGUUAUGUGUGAAAGAGUGAUUUGGUAAUAAAUCUGCUUGGGACAGCAGCAGUAACGUGACUUUGGAAAAUCACCAUAAAUUGUGGGAGAUGAGUUAGAAGCUGCAUAAAUUAUGUAAUUAAAGCUUAAUGAGUCUAGUUUCAAAUGGAAUAAACGAGAACAUAUUUUGAAUUCUGUACAAUGAGAAAUUUGAUUCGUAAUGAAGAGUGGUCAGAUUAGUCAAACAGUGAAACAUGCGAAACUUUGAGAAAAAUCUGGUAUCGAUUGGCCAAACCAAAAGUUCUGAAAAUUUUAUGGAUAGAAGAUAUAUGAGUCUAUUUUCAGGAAAAAUUAACAGAACUUGAUUUGGAGUUUCGUAGCUCCAGUUAUAAAUAAUUUAGUGACUGUUGCUCAGGAAGACAGCUUGCAGUGAAAUUAUGAUUAUGUGGUAAACAUUGACAAAAAUUUGUUAAUGAGUUGCUUAUUGAUUUCUUAUAAGCUUACUAUGAUCUGUAGGUGUGGUUGGCCGAAUAUUGUAAGGGGUUAAUACGUAGUUUGUAUUUGAAUAGUUACAUUAACGUGUUAGUAAUCCAAUUGUAGGCGGUUCGUGUGUGGAUCUCGUCAGCAUAUCGUCGCAAACAGGUGUGUAACUAACACCCUCUUUCUUAGUCUGGAUCGGCAAAAGUCGAAAAGCCGAAAUGCCGAAAACCGGUAUUUUGUAGAUUUGCGAGUGUGCGAAUGCUCGUGAGGUAAAUCGAUUAAUGUUUUUGGUAAGCUGUAAAAUUUGGACUGCAAAGUGCAUGAUUUCUAUGCCCUCGAUAUUUUUGGGCUUAAUGGGCCAAAAUUGGAAUGAUGGGCCAACGGGCCCAAUUCGGUAAGAACCCUCGGUACGUGAUUCUGUUAGUACAUGAAAAGUAGGAAUAUGCAUGAAAAACCCUAAAAUAGAUAAAUUACUGAAAUACCUUUAAAAGUGGAAAAUUUACAGUUUUACCCCUAGUAGAUAAAUUAGCGAAAUACCCCUAGGGUUAAAUUGACCUAAAUGCAUGUUUGACUGUUGUUAUUUACUGCAUGCCAUGUUGUUAUUAUCUGAUGCGUGGGAUUGGGAUAUUGACGGAGGAAGUACUGAAAGUGGCUUGUCUACGUACUGGAGGCUUUGCCUCAAUUUACUGUUAACUGAGCAGCAAUGCUGCAACUGUGGAGUGUUAGGCUGGGUGGGUUGAGCAAUUCCCCACAUGGAGUGUAUGGCUAGUACGGGUGGAGUGUAGUGGUUGGUGGGUUGAGUAGUCUCCCCAAAUGGGCUUGCAUAUGUUUAUUGAUGUUGCAUGUAUUUCCAAAUGGACCAAUGGGCCAUACUGUUAUCUGAAUAAGGGGCUAAGGCCCAGUUUAUGUAAUUUGAAAAGGGCUCUGGCCCAGUAUCACUGUUACCUGAAUGGGCUUAGGCCCAAUGGGCUUGAGCUGACUUGGGCUUUGAAUGGGUUUUCCUUACACACUGAGUUUCCCCAAACUCACCCCUUUUAUUUUCAUCCACGCAGGAAAUCCCCAACCAUAGUGGGCUUAGAGCUGUGAGGGAAUUCGGAGUGGCCACCCGUUCUGAAAGUUUGGUUUUCUUCUGUGAACUGGACAUCCUAUUAUUUACGUUGAGGUUUGGGUUUUUAAAUGUAAUAAGGCCGCUUAAUUAUUUUUGAUGGUUUUAAUAUGUGUUACUAAGAUAGGUAUUACUUAUUUUAACUGUUGAAAUUGGAUAGCUUUAGGGCGCGUUUUCAAAAACAACAAUUGAUUUCAAAAUAAUACGACAACAAGCAAAGCUUCCGCAAUGAAAGUAUUUUCCAAAAUUAAUCACUUUUCCUAAAAAUGACUUAAUCAAAAUCGGUUUCCUAGAAAUAUCCAUGACGUUAAGGUGUGGCAAUGGCGGUAUGCAUGUCUAGGAUUGGAUCCGAAGGGAGCUUGGUACUUAAGCAGUCCGAUGGACUCACCACCUCUUUUCCGGUUUCCUACCUGGUGCACAGCUUCCAUUCAUUUUAACCUAUAAUGAAAUUAUCUUUUAAAACACUAAGUAAGUUUUUUUUUCUGGAUCAACAAUAUAAAAUGUUUUGAACGCUUCGAUGUGGCAUGUCGGAUCCGGUCAUAACAUCUGGGCCGGGUUUGGGGUGCUACAGAGCCCAAAUUUUAAAACCUAAUUAAAACCCAAACUACCCAAGCCCAAUUCUAACCCUAGCCCAUUACAAAGAAAACAGCAGCAACCCUAGCUGCCAAUGUUUUUAACUGCCGCUCCUCAUCAGCAGGGCCACCACACGCGCCAUUUCGUCGCACCGCACGCCAUUUCUGACACCUGCAAAGAGAUUAAUGCAAAGCAUCAGAAGAAGUAAAUAGCAAAAGAACAAAAACCAUGAAACGAAC
rnacentral:lncRNA from 1 species